GGGCGCUUAGCUCAGUUGGUAGAGCGUCUGCCUUACAAGCAGAAUGUCGGCGGUUCGAUCCCGUCAGCGCCCC
rnacentral:tRNA from 2 species